rnacentral:rRNA from 1 species
UGGGGAAUAUUGCACAAUGGGCGCAAGCCUGAUGCAGCCAUGCCGCGUGCAUGAAGAAGGCCUUCGGGUUGUAAAGUACUUUCAGCGGGGAGGAAGGGAGUAAAGUUAAUACCUUUGCUCAUUGACGUUACCCUCAGAAGAAGCUCCGGCUAACUCCGUGCCAGCAGCCGCGGUAAUACGGCGGGUGCAAGCGUUAAUCGGAAUUACUGGGCGUAAAGCGCACGCAGGCGGUUUGUUAAGUCAGAUGUGAAAUCCUCGGGCUCAACCUGGGAACUGCAUCUGAUACUGGCGAGCUUGAGUCUCGUAGAGGGGGGUAGAAUUCCAGGUGUAGCGGUGAAAUGCGUAGAGAUCUGGAGGAAUACCGGUGGCGAAGGCGGCCCCCUGGACGAAGACUGACGCUCAGGUGCGAAAGCGUGGGGAGCAAACAGG